rnacentral:rRNA from 1 species
GCAAGUCGAGCGGUAGAAUUUAAUAGCUUGCUAUUAGAUUUGAGAGCGGCGAACGGGUGAGUAACACGUUGGUAUCUGCCCCCAAGUCAGGGAUAGCCAUUGGAAACGAUGAUUAAUACCGGAUAGUCUCUUCGGAGUAAAGAUUUAUUGCUUGGGGAGGAGCCUGCGUUCUAUCAGCUAGUUGGUGAGGUAAAAGCUUACCAAGGCGACGAUCUCUAGCUGGUCUGAGAGGAUGAUC